UACGGGGGGGGCAAGCGUUGUUCGGAAUUACUGGGCGUAAAGGGCUCGUAGGCGGCCAACUAAGUCCGACGUGAAAUCCCAAGGCUUAACCUUGGAACUGCGUCGGAUACUGGAUGGCUUGAAUUCGGGAGAGGGAUGCAGAAUUCCAGGUGUAGCGGUGAAAUGCGUAGAUAUCUGGAGGAAUACCGGUGGCGAAGGCGGGUCUCUGGGCCGUAACUGACGCUGAGGAGCGAAAGCGUGGGGAGCGAACAGG
rnacentral:rRNA from 1 species